rnacentral:piRNA from 1 species
UUGCUUUUACAAAUUCACUUGCAGUGCU